GUAGUCUCGCACAGAUGCAUAUCAAUAAGCGGAGGAAAAGAAACUAACAAGGAUUCCCCUAGUAACGGCGAGUGAAGCGGGAAGAGCUCAAAUUUGAAAUCUUAAAGGGUUUCCCUUUACGAAUUGUAGUUUAAAGAAGUGUUUUCUGUUGAGGUUUUGGUAAAAGUUCUUUGGAAUAGGACAUCAUAGAGGGUGAGAAUCCCGUAUUUGACCUUUACUUUCAACUUUGUGAUACACUUUCAAAGAGUCGGAUUGUUUGGGAAUGCAGUCCAAAAUGGGUGGUAAAUUUCAUCUAAAGCUAAAUAUUGGCGAGAGACCGAUAGCGAACAAGUACCGUGAGGGAAAGAUGAAAAGAACUUUGAAAAGAGAGUUAAACAGUACGUGAAAUUGUCAAAAGGGAAGCGUUUGACACCAGUGUUGUUUUUCUGAAAAUCAAUUAAAGAACUGUUUAUGCUAAGCUGUUUAGACUUUAUCAGCUAUACUGUUUAGUUUUGAGCUUUUCUUUAAUGCACUUUUCAGUUAACAAGUCAACAUCAAUUUCUUUUGCUGUAAAAAAGCUUGAGGAAGGUGGCUUGAGAUUCGUCUUAAGUGUUUAUAGCCUCUUGCCUAUGCAGUCGGAGAGGUUGAGGUCUGCAGCGUAGAUCCUUCGGGGCUAAAUGCAUUUGUGCUAAGUUAUAGCAUUUUAUAGACAACUUGUUGACUAUGACUUGUCUUGUAGCUUACUCGCUUAUGUUAUUUUACCUACGCUUAGGAUGUUGAAGACUCUACAGAGAUA
rnacentral:rRNA from 1 species